CACGUAGGGAGCAAGCGUUGUCCGGAUUUAUUGGGCGUAAAGAGCUCGCAGGCUGUUCGAUAAGUCGGGUGUGAAACCUCCAGGCUCAACCUGGAGACGCCACCCGAUACUGUCAUGACUAGAGUCCGGUAGGGGAGCGUGGAAUUCCUGGUGUAGCGGUGAAAUGCGCAGAUAUCAGGAGGAACACCAGCGGCGAAGGCGGCGCUGUGGGCCGGUACUGACGCUGAGGAGCGAAAGCGUGGGUAGCAAACAGG
rnacentral:rRNA from 1 species